CACAACGCUGUCUGUCCUAAGGGCUUGUGAAGCUUUCAAACCUAUGAUCUAUUAGUAACAUAAAGCCUUUUAUAAUCAUGAUGUUGACAGCGUUUAGGGGCCUCGAUCUCUCUACUUCUGAGUCUUUUCAAUAGUGUGAUUGAAAACAAAAAUGUACAUUAUUAUUCUAUUUAAAAAAAGAAAAAAGAAAAGAAAAAAGACAAGUGUUCUGUAUGGACCUGUAUUUACCCAUCAGUUUCUGAUGUUCAAACACUGUGAUUAUUAUAAAUGUUGUUGGACAACAUGAGUUUAAGAAGAAAAAAGCUAGAAAAAUACAAAGUAAAAGACAGUUGGAGGAAACAUUAUGGUGGAUUGGUAAUACUUAGGCUGAACAAAAAUACAAAGUAAAAGACAGUUGGAGGAAACAUUAUGGUGGAUUGGUAAUACUUAGGCUGAACAAAAAUACAAAGUAAAAGACAGCUAUUUUCCUUAUCCAGUACUUAUCGAGGUCACUUUAACCUUUCUUCUCUUUGUACUUUCUUUAUAUUAGAUAAAUGUGAAUGUUAAAUGGACUCAAUUAACGUACUUGAAUAGUAACUUGGGGUUGAGUGCCAAAUAACACCCUAUCCCCUACAUGGUGUUCAACCUUUCACCAGGAGCCGAUAAGACCUCGAUCAGGGCCCAUGGGGCUCUGGUCAAAAGUAGUGCACUAUAUAGGGGAUAUGGUGCAAUGUAGGACUCACCCUUGGUCUUUUCCGUCUCCUUUCGCCCCCCCCAGUACUCCAGUGAGAGCUCUGCUAGAGUUUCUAGUGCCUUCCAUUAUUUAUUUUGCUUUUUUUUUAACCGUUUUUGACAUGAUGGAGUAACGGAAAUGCUGUUGAUUUCUGCUACAUUGAAGUGCUUUACUGGCUCUGUGGGUACAAAAGGCAAAGGUACACUGGGAAGGGGGGACGGGGGAAGGUGGGCUGUGGGGGUUUUGUUUCUUUGUGCCAUUUAUUGUUUUAGUAUUGGGGUUAAAUACAUUUUGAUUUGGGGGGCGGAAGACAAACUUAGUCCUAGACUCUGCAGAGAGUAGGAAUGGAUCUGAUGGUGAAGCUUGGACAAACUCUGUAUUUGGAACAGAGAAAGGAACGCAGACAACAGAACAACAGAGUGAGGCUGAACCAGGGUUACCUAACAUUUAAAAUAAAAGGUCUGUUAGGAACGGAAUGUUCCGUUUGUUCUAGUGUUCGGGGGACACGUUUCAGAUACUAGAACCAUUCAUUCAGUAUGCAAGAGCUCUCUAGCUAACACUGAGCCCAUCAUUAGACCCACUACAACAAUCAGACUAUCUUUACUGAUGGCCUGUCCACGAAGCCUUGUGUGUGUCCGACACCAGGCAGCACGGUAUACAAGCCUCGUGUUGGCGGUGAAAGAGAGGGGAGGAAGUGGGAGACUGAUAGGAAUAGAGAAGAGAAAGUCAGUCAGUGACAAACGGUAUUUGUGU
ensembl:lncRNA